rnacentral:rRNA from 1 species
GUAGGGAAUAUUGCGCAAUGGACGAAAGUCUGACGCAGCGACGCCGCGUGAGUGAUGAAGGCCUUAGGGUCGUAAAGCUCUGUUGAAUGGGAAGAAAAAAAUGACGGUACCAUUCGAGGAAGGACCGGCUAACUUCGUGCCAGCAGCCGCGGUAAUACGAGGGGUCCAGCGUUGUUCGGAAUCAUUGGGCGUAAAGGGUGUGUAGGUGGCCAUGUAAGUCAGGUGUGAAAGUCCCGGGCUCAAACCGGGAAGUGCACUUGAUACUGCGUGGCUUGAGUACCGAAGAGGGUAGUGGAAUUCCAGGUGUAGUGGUGAAAUACGUAGAUAUCUGGAGGAACACCGGUGGCGAAGGCGGCUACCUGGUCGAGUACUGACACUGAGACACGAAAGCAUGGGGAUCAAACAGGAUUAGAUACCCGGGUAGUCC